UACGUAGGAGGCAAGCGUUGUCCGGAUUUACUGGGCGUAAAGAGCGCGCAGGCGGUCGUUCAAGUCGCGUGUGAAAGCCCCCGGCUCAACUGGGGAGGGUCACGCGAUACUGAUCGACUGGAAGGCAGGAGAGGGUAGUGGAAUUCCCGGUGUAGUGGUGAAAUGCGUAGAUAUCGGGAGGAACACCAGUGGCGAAGGCGACUACCUGGCCUGUUCUUGACGCUGAGGCGCGAAAGCUAGGGGAGCAAACGGG
rnacentral:rRNA from 1 species